CCUACGGGUGGCUGCAGUGGGGAAUAUUGGACAAUGGGGGCAACCCUGAUCCAGCCAUGCCGCGUGUGUGAAGAAGGCCCUCGGGUUGUAAAGCACUUUCAGUGAGGAAGAACGCCUGGUGGUUAAUACCCAUCAGGAAAGACAUCACUCACAGAAGAAGCACCGGCUAACUCCGUGCCAGCAGCCGCGGUAAUACGGAGGGUGCGAGCGUUAAUCGGAAUUACUGGGCGUAAAGCGCGCGUAGGUGGCUUGAUAAGCCGGUUGUGAAAGCCCCGGGCUCAACCUGGGAACGGCAUCCGGAACUGUCAAGCUAGAGUGCAGGAGAGGAAGGUAGAAUUCCCGGUGUAGCGGUGAAAUGCGUAGAGAUCGGGAGGAAUACCAGUGGCGAAGGCGGCCUUCUGGACUGACACUGACACUGAGGUGCGAAAGCGUGGGUAGCAAACAGGAUUAGAGACCCCAGUAGUC
rnacentral:rRNA from 1 species